rnacentral:tRNA from 1 species
CUCUCUAUAGCUCAGUUGGUAGAGCGGGAGACUGUAGAGUUGUGGUAUUCUCUAGGUCGCUGGUUCGAAUCCGGCUGGGGAGA